UUGCUCACUUUGGUAGCACAUAUACUAAAUUGAAAUGAUACAGAGAAGAUUAGCAUGGCUUCUGUGCAAGGAUGACAUGCAAAUUUGUGAAGCAUUUCAUAUUUUU
rnacentral:snRNA from 1 species